rfam:Musca domestica strain aabys unplaced genomic scaffold Scaffold19195, whole genome shotgun sequence.
AACUAGGCCUCUUUGGAGGCCACCCGUUUUCAUAUUCAAGACAUGU